rnacentral:rRNA from 1 species
GUAGGUAGCAAGCGUUGUCCGGAAUUAUUGGGGCGUAAAGCGCGCGCGGGCGGUUCUUUAAGUCUGAUGUGAAAGCCCACGGGCUCAACCGUGGAGGGUCAUUGGAAACUGGAGAACUUGAGUACAGAAGAGGAAAGCGGAAUUCCACGUGUAGCGGUGAAAUGCGUAGAGAUGUGGAGGAACACCAGUGGCGAAGGCGGCUUUCUGGUCUGUAACUGACGCUGAGGCGCGAAAGCGUGGGGAGCAAACAGGAUUAGAUACCCUGGUAGUCCACGCCGUAAACGAUGAGUGCUAAGUGUUAGGGGGUUUCCGCCCCUUAGUGCUGCAGCUAACGCAUUAAGCACUCCGCCUGGGGAGUACGGCCGCAAAGGCUGA